ensembl:misc_RNA Metazoa_SRP Metazoan signal recognition particle RNA
GCUGGGUGUGGUGGUUCACACCUGUAAUCCCAGCAUUUGGGAGGCUGAGGCAGGUGGAUCACCUGAGGUCAGGAGUUUGAGACCAGCCUGGCCAACAUGGUGAAACUCUGUUUCUA